rnacentral:RNase_P_RNA from 2 species
GGAGGAUGCAGGGCGGCCGCUGACAGCCGCAAGGCAGUUGGAGGAAAGUCCGGACACCAUAGGGCAGGGAGGCCGUUAACGACGGCCGGGGGCGACCUCAGGGAAAGGGCCACAGAAAACGAGACCGCCAACAGCGGCAACGCUGUUGGUAAGGGUGAAAUGGCGGGGUAAGAGCCCACCAGAGCGGCGGGUGACCGUCGCUGCUCGGCAACCCCCUCCCGGUGCAAGGCCAAAUAGGCUGCCUCUCAAGGAUUGCCCGUCCUUUUUCCCCUUCGCAAGACGGGGAAAGUCGCAGCGGGUUGGCUGCUCGAGGCCGGCGGCAACGCCGGUCCCAGAUGAAUGGCCGCUACCCCUUACGGGGCACAGAAUCCGGCUUACGGCAGCCUCCGGCG